rnacentral:misc_RNA from 1 species
UUUUUAUUUUUGUACUUUAAGUCUUGAUUUCAUUUUUAUGUUUUUUAAAUGUUAGCGUCUUUGAAUGUGUUAUUUUAAUAACAUGAAAAAUAAAAUAUAUAUUGACAUGGAUUAAACAAAGAUAUAUAUUAGUUUAUGUUGCAUAAACAAAUUGGCAAAAUAGAGAUGGAAGAUAAAAAU